CCUACGGGUGGCAGCAGUGGGGGAUAUUGCACAAUGGGGGGAACCCUGAUGCAGCGACGCCGCGUGGGUGAAGAAGCGCCUCGGCGCGUAAAGCCCUGUCAGCAGGGAAGAAAAUGACGGUACCUGAAGAAGAAGCCCCGGCUAACUACGUGCCAGCAGCCGCGGUAAUACGUAGGGGGCAAGCGGUACCCGGAUUUACUGGGUGGAAAGGGGGCGCAGACGGGGAUGCAAGCCAGGAGGUAAAGCCCGGGGCCCAACCCCGGGACUGCUCUUUGAACUGGGUUGCUGGAGUGCAGGAGGGGCAGGCGGAAUUCGUGGUGUAGCGGUGAAAUGCGUAGAUAUCAGGAGGAACACCGGUUGCGAAGGCGGCCUGCUGGACUGCAACUGACGUUGAGGCCCGAAAGCGUGGGGAGCAAACAGGAUUAGAUACCCGUGUAGUC
rnacentral:rRNA from 1 species